CUUGUGCCAGCCGCCGCGGUAAUGCGGAGGGAGCUAGCGUUGUUCGGAAAUACUGGGCGUAAAGCGCACGUAGGCGGCGUCGCAAGUCAGAGGUGAAAUCCCGGGGCUCAACCCCGGAACUGCCCUUGAAACUGCAAUGCUAGAAUACUGGAGAGGCAAGUGGAAUUCCGAGUGUAGAGGUGAAAUUCGUAGAUAUUCGGAAGAACACCAGUGGCGAAGGCGACUUGCUGGACAAUUAUUGACGCUGAGGUGCGAAAGCGUGGGGAGC
rnacentral:rRNA from 1 species